rnacentral:rRNA from 1 species
UACAGAGGUGCCGAGCGUUAGGCGGAAUCACUGGGCUUAAAGCGUGUGUAGGCGGACUUCUAAGUACCUUGUGAAAUCCCACGGCUCACCCGUGGAACUGCUCGGUAUACUGGUCGUCUUGAGCCUUCUAGGGGCGAGUGGAACAAAUGGUGGAGCGGUGAAAUGCGUAGAUAUCAUUUGGAACGCCAAUGGUGAAAACAACUCGCUGGGGAAGUGCUGACGCUGAGACACGAAAGCCAGGGGAGCGAACGGG